rnacentral:rRNA from 1 species
UACAGAGGAUGCAAACGUUGCUCGGAAUUAUUGGGCGUAAAGCGCAUGUAGGCGGCACGGUAAGUCGACUGUGAAAGCCCUUGGCUCAACCAAGGAAGUGCAGUCGAAACUGCCGAGCUCGAGUUCUGAAGAGGGUCGCGGAAUGGCCAGUGUAGAGGUGAAAUCGUAGAUAUUGGCUAGAACACCAGUGGCGAAGGCGGCGACCUGGGAAGAUACUGACGCUGAGAUGCGAAAGCGUGGGGAGCAAACAGG